UGAAGAAAUUUAUAUGUGAUGAAAAUUAUGAUAUAAAUUUCCAACUAAAUUGUAUCCAUCAUUUUGCGUGGCAAUGUCGACGGCUUCUAUCAACGGUUGGUGCCUUACCUCCUCUUCUUCCACCACUACCACCUCCUCUUUUUCCGCUCGUCGACGACCUACAUUGCGGCCUUCGGUCGUCGCUAGCCUUAACUCUUCUCCUUCUCCUCCGACUCUUAUCCAAGACCGCCCGGUUUUUGCUGCCCCUAUUCCUUUGCUCACCCCGAGAGAAGAGAUGGGAAACAAGUCCUACGACGAAGCCAUUGAAGCUCUCAAGAAACUUCUCAGUGAGAAAGGAGAACUGAAAGCUGAAGCAGCUGCAAGGGUAGAUCAAAUAACAGCAGAGUUAAACACAGCAUCAGCUGAUGGCAAACCAUCUGACUCUUCUGUUGAGAGACUGAAAGAAGGCUUCGUUUACUUCAAGAAAGAAAAAUAUGAAAAGAAUCCUGCUCUGUAUGGUGAGCUUGCCAAGGGUCAAAGCCCUAAGUAUAUGAUUGUUGCCUGCUCGGACUCUAGGGUCUGCCCAUCUCAUGUGCUGGACAUGCAACCUGGUGAAGCUUUUGUGGUCCGUAAUGUUGCUAACAUGGUGCCACCAUAUGACCAGAUUAAAUAUGCUGGCAUUGGAUCUGCUAUUGAAUAUGCAGUUUUGCAUCUCAAGGUACAAGAAAUUGUGGUGAUUGGACACAGUGCCUGUGGUGGAAUCAAGGGGCUUAUGUCUUUCCCAUUUGAUGGAAACAACUCAACUGAUUUCAUAGAGGAUUGGGUUAAGAUUGGAAUCCCUGCUAAGACCAAGGUGCUAGCUGAACAUGGUGGUGAGCCUUUGGGAGUCCAAUGUACACACUGCGAGAAGGAAGCAGUGAAUGUAUCCCUUGGAAACCUGCUGAGUUAUCCAUUUGUGAGAGAUGGAUUGGUGAAGAAAACCCUGGGAAUCAAGGGCGGUUACUAUGACUUCGUUAAAGGAAGUUUCGAGCUAUGGAGUCUUCAGUUCCAACUUUCAAGCUCUCUCUCUGUAUGAAAACACACCAAACCAUCACCAUUGACACCAUCUUUGUUCCUUAACUACCAAUCCUUUUUCUUACAAUGUAAAAGAUGUGGCCACCAUACUCCAUUGGAAGCUCUACUAGGGACAUCAUCAUCCAUGCAAAGAUGAGGCUUUGAAUCUUCACCUUUUUUACUUUUCUUUCCUGCCUCACAUUAUAAUCUGAAUUCUAAACUGAGUUUUGUGGAUGAGACAGUUUCAAGAACUAAUGUUUCAGUUUAAGUUCUUUAGCAUAA